CACACACACACACACACACACACACACACACACGCGGCCACACAAAGGAUGUAAUUAUCUAACUUGCACACGGAACGGCUUUAACGGGCUGAGCGCCGUCGAACCCCCCCGACCUGGAACAGGAACAGUGGAAGUCUGACACGUUAUACAAGAGGUCGUGACCUUGUGAUGGAAUGGAUGAGGUCAUCUUAAGCUCCAGGAGAGAUUUUCUUCUUCUUCUCCUUCAGCUGCAGGAGCUUCCAGCAGCACGAAGGCUGAUUGAGAGCAGCUUCUCCCGCGUCGAACAAAUAAACUCAACAACAACACAGGUUCUUUUGCCUGUGAGUUUGGUGUUUAUCUGAACCCUGAGAUGAUCCAGAACGACCAGACAAGAAAACAACAUGCAUUUGUACAAAGUUCUACUAUAUUUUGCAUUAAUAAUCUUAAUCUACAGUGUUCGAAGCUCUAAAUAAAUCGUAGCGGAGAUGAAAGCGGUACUCGGGUAAACGUACCUGGUUAACCAGCCGGAUUGUGGCCCUGCAGAGCGCCGCUAUCCGUGGUGCUGACGCGCAGCGCAUCACCCCAAGCUCACCUGCAGGACUUACACACAUUACAGUCUUUUCUUCGCACUAAUCCCUGUGGCACUGGCGUGUUUCCUUUCCAACAUGCUUCAUGUACGCACGUAAAUUAUCUUUGAUUCUCUGCGUUUAUGAAUAUAUAACGUUGAGUUGUGUUUAUUUCAAAGUGUGUUUUUCUCUGUGUGUUGUAAAUGUACUUUUACUGCGUUUUGCUGUAUAAUAAUAAAUGAAAUUGAAAAAGAAUUUCAUGUUUUUUGGAGUCUUACUUUUUAGAAUUUGAGUGCAGUUUUAGAGUUGAAAAGAUUUCGCAAUGACAGUUUACUAGUGACUGGAACCGGACUUAAAAAGACACUAAAAUGUGUUGAAAAGCACCUAAAAAAGCAUUAAUAGUACUUUGAUAAACGCAACAAAGCUGUAAGAAAUGCAUCAACACACUAUAUGCUAAUUGAAGUAAGAUAUCCUUCAAAAAAUGGAAGGAUAUCUUACUUCUCUUCUUUCAGUCCUUUCCUUAAAUUGCUCGAGGAAAUGUAAGAACUGAACUUUUAAACCUCCAGACAAAGAUUGUGUGAUACGAUCAAAAUCCACAGUAAUCAGAUCGACGUUGUGCAAGAAAGGAAAUGUACGCACCAUCUUCUACACAAAGUGCAAAGUGUUAACACAACGCCGGCGUGUGUUUGCUCUCCGCUAGGCGGCGCCAUCGGGCCGGCGCACAGAGGGAGUCCGGCGCUCUCUCCCGGAGGGAGAGGGGAAGAGGAAGCAUAAAUCCCGCUGGUUCCUUAUCGUGUGCCCGAGGGUGUGAAGGAGGGAGGAAACGAGGAGGGAGGAGGCAGAUAGCGGCGGCGCUGAGGAGACGGGGUUGGAAAAAGAAAGGCUGAAAGGUGGAGGUUUAAAAACGAACAGGAGGGAAAAAAACAACAGCAGCAGAGAAGAAAAAGGAGAACGUGGAGCAGAGAAUUAUCUAGAAACGCGUUUAGGUCUGAAUGACCUCUGAGUGAUGGGGGAGACAGGUGGAAGUAGACGGAGGGGAGUGAUGGGGGAGACAGGUGGACGUAGAUGGAAGGGAGUGAUGGGGGAGACAGGUGGACGUAGACGGAGGGGAGUGAUGGGGAGACAGGUGGACGUAGACGGAGGGGAGUGAUGGGGGGGACAGGUGGACGUAGACGGAGGGGAGUGAUGGGGGAGACAGGUGGAAGUAGACGGAGGGGAGUGAUGGGGGAGACAGGUGGAAGUAGACGGAGGGGAGUGAUGGGGGAGACAGGAGGAAGUAGACUGAGGGGAGUGAUGGGGGAGACAGGUGGAAGUAGACGGAGGGGAGUGAUGGGGGAGACAGGUGGAAGUAGACGGAGGGGAGUGAUGGGGGAGACAGGUAGACGUAGACGGAGGGGAGUGAUGGGGGAGUAAGGAGGAAGUAGACGGACGGGAGUGAUGGGGGAGACAGGUGGAAGUAGACGGAGGGGAGUGAUGGGGGAGACAGGAGGAAGUAGACGGAGGGGAGUGAUGGGGGAGACAGGUGGACGUAGACGGAGGGGAGUGAUGGGGGAGACAGGUAGACGUAGAUGGAGGAGAGUGAUGGGGGAGACAGGUAGACGUAGACGGAGGGGAGUGAUGGGGGAGUAAGGAGGAAGUAGACGGACGGGAGUGAUGGGGGAGACAGGUGGACGUAGACGGAGGGGAGUGAUGGGGGAGACAGGUAGACGUAGAUGGAGGAGAGUGAUGGGGGAGACAGGUAGACGUAGACGGAGGGGAGUGAUGGGGGAGUAAGGAGGAAGUAGACGGAGGGGAGUGAUGGGGGAGACAGGUGGAAGUAGACGGAGGGGAGUGAUGGGGGAGACAGGUAGACGUAGACGGAGGGGAGUGAUGGGGGAGUAAGGAGGAAGUAGACGGACGGGAGUGAUGGGGGAGACAGGGGGAAGUAGACGGAGGGGAGUGAUGGGGGAGUAAGGAGGAAGUAGACGGACGGGAGUGAUGGGGGAGACAGGUCGACGUAGACGGAGGAGAGUGAUGGGGGAGACAGGUGGACGUAGAUGGAGGGGAGUGAUGGGGGAGACAGGUGGACGUAGAUGGAAGGGAGUGAUGGGGGAGACAGGUGGACGUAGAUGGAAGGGAGUGAUGGGAGAGACAGGUAGACGUAGACGGAGGGGAGUGAUGGGGGAGACAGGUGGACGUAGAUGGAAGGGAGUGAUGGGAGAGACAGGUAGACGUAGACGGAGGGGAGUGAUGGGGGAGACAGGUGGACGUAGAUGGAAGGGAGUGAUGGGGGAGUAAGGAGGAAGUAGACGGACGGGAGUGAUGGGGGAGACAGGAGGAAGUAGACGUAGGGGAGUGAUGUGGGAGACAGG
ensembl:lncRNA